rnacentral:rRNA from 1 species
CAAUGGUCGGAAGACUGAUCCAGCCAUGCCGCGUGCAGGAUGAAGGUCCUAUGGAUUGUAAACUGCUUUUGUAAGGGAAGAAUAAGGAGUACGUGUACUUUGAUGACGGUACCUUACGAAUAAGCAUCGGCUAACUCCGUGCCAGCAGCCGCGGUAAUACGGAGGAUGCGAGCGUUAUCCGGAAUCAUUGGGUUUAAAGGGUCCGUAGGCGGGCUGAUAAGUCAGAGGUGAAAGCGCUUAGCUCAACUAAGCAACUGCCUUUGAAACUGUCAGUCUUGAAUGAUUGUGAAGUAGUUGGAAUGUGUAGUGUAGCGGUGAAAUGCUUAGAUAUUACACAGAACACCGAUAGCGAAGGCAUAUUACUAACAAUUUAUUGACGCUGAUGGACGAAAGCGUGGGGAGCGAACAGGAUUAGAUACCCUGGUAGUCCACGCUGUAAACGAUGGAUACUAGCUGUUUGGAGCAAUCUGAGUGGCUAAGCGAAAGUGAUAAGUAUCCCACCUGGGGAGUACGCACGCAAGUGUGAAACUCAAAGGAAUUGACGGGGGCCCGCACAAG